GAUGAACGCUGGCGGCGUGCCUAAUACAUGCAAGUCGAGCGAACGGACGAGAAGCUUGCUUCUCUGAUGUUAGCGGCGGACGGGUGAGUAACACGUGGAUAACCUACCUAUAAGACUGGGAUAACUUCGGGAAACCGGAGCUAAUACCGGAUAAUAUUUUGAACCGCAUGGUUCAAAAGUGAAAGACGGUCUUGCUGUCACUUAUAGAUGGAUCCGCGCUGCAUUAGCUAGUUGGUAAGGUAACGGCUUACCAAGGCAACGAUGCAUAGCCGACCUGAGAGGGUGAUCGCCCACACUGGAACUGAGACACGGUCCAGACUCCUACGGGAGGCAGCAGUAGGGAAUCUUCCGCAAAGGGCGAAAGCCUGACGGAGCAACGCCGCGUGAGUGAUGAAGGUCUUCGGAUCGUAAAACUCUGUUAUUAGGGAAGAACAUAUGUGUAAGUAACUGUGCACAUCUUGACGGUACCUAAUCAGAAAGCCACGGCUAACUACGUG
rnacentral:rRNA from 1 species